rnacentral:lncRNA from 1 species
GCAAGCUCUGCGUGGUCUUGGGUGGCGAGUUCGAGCCUUAGAACGGCCGAGUGCCCUGGAACCGGUUUCGGCUCUGGCGUCCUCGCGUGUCCUCCGGCUCCAGGUUACAACGUCAGUAUUGGCGCCUUGGCGCGGUCCCGUCCUGCUCUCGUCCUCCGUUCCGUGGACCCCGGGGCUGUUCUGGCGCCUCGCAGGCCGGGCCCCUCCCAUCGACUCGAUGGGCAGGGCUCUGCGAGGCUCGGGGACCGGGGACGCGCGGCCUUCCUGACAAGGAGCCCGAGGGUCUGCACAGCCUGGGGCACCACCCGGCCUGAACCCGUGGAAACAGCCUGCGAUGCACGGAUGGAGGUGGCUUUGCCCUGUGUCUGCUGGUGCCUCUGGAACUCCGGCUCUGACAGACGCUGCGUCUCCUGCUGACUGCUGCAUCCCAAGAUGAGCCCAGCGCUUGCACACAGGGCGUCCCAAAGUGUUUGUUGAACAAAGGCAUGAUCAGUGUUGGUAUUGCCCUGAGACUCAUGCCCUCAGCCCCGAUUCGGGCACAUGGCUCAUGUCAACCGCUGGAAGUCCCUCUGGGGCCCACAAAUGUCUCUAGACCACAGGAAGAGUCGGCCUGGCUCCAUGUGCCUGGCGCCUGGGGCAGAAAGGUGGACGGGGCAAUCAGAGUGGUCACCAUCGGGGAGUACACUUUGCACUCCACUCGAGUCUCCAGGGAUAUAACUCACUGGAUCCUAAGUCUCACUUUCUGAGGGCCGUUCUUAGAGUCUCCUGUAUGAAAUCAGGCUACAUCCAGAGAAAGUUCCAGAAAUAAGAAAAGAUGAGAUCGCCUACUGACCCUCCCAUUUUUUGCACACGGACACUGAGGGAGGGGAGGAACUUGCUCAAGGGCACCACACAAUUUUUUUUUGAGAUGGAGUCUCAAAGAUGGAGAAUUCCUCCAACCAUGAGGAAUUUGAACGCUUAUCCCGAAUAGUGGAAAAUGAACGUCUCAUGGAGUUAGGGCCUGUCACCACCUGGGGAUCUACAGUCAGACAUGGCAUAGAGGAUGCCCUCCCAGAUCCCGCUCUGUCUCCCAGACUGGAGUGCAGUAGUGCCACCUUGGCUCACUGCAACCUCCGUCUUCCGGAUUCAAGCGAUUCUCUGGCCUUAGCCUCCUGAGUAGAUGGGAUUACAGGCGCACACCACCACACCCGGCUAAUUUUGUAUUUUUACUAGAGAUGGGGCUUCACCAUGUUGGCCAGGCUGGUCUUGAACUCCUGACCUCAAGUGAUCCACCUGCCUCAGUCUCCCAAAGUGCUGGGAUCACAGGCAUGAGCCAACAUACCCAGCCCACCCCAUGAGUUAUUGCUAGAGUGGUGGGGUAGGGACCCGGCCCCCAGCUCUCAGUGCUGGACAUGGGCAGGGUGGGCAUGGGUUCCCUUCCAGCCCUGGCAGAGCCCUGGACCAUGCGUGCUUUUCCCCUCAAGUGUCGAGGCAGGCAGGGCUGCUGCAUAGAAUACAAGAUGCCCCAUUGAGAUGGAAUCUCAGACAAAUGAGUCAUGUUUUACUGUAAGCAUAUCCCAAAUAUUUCAUGGGACACACUUAUACUAAAACUUAUUCAUUGUUUAUCUGAGCUUCAAAUGUAGUGGAGUGCCCUGUAUUUUUAUUUGCUAAAUUUGGCAGCCCUAGUAACGGGAGCUGGAAGGCUUUUGUUAUUUGCCCUCAAGCAGCAUUUCCUGGCAUUGGCUUCAGUGACCAGUUGUCUCUUGAAAUGUCCCAUGGACAGAAGGGAAGAAAACUGGGAAAUACUGUGUUAAAUAAACUUGCACAAUUCCUUUUUUUUUUUCUUUAAAGAAAAGCCUAGCCGGGCGUGGUGGCUCACACCUGUAAUCCCAGCACUUUGGGAGGCCAAGAAGGGCGGCUCACAAGGUCAGGAGUUUGAGACUAUCCUGGCCAAUGUGUUGAAACCCCAUCUCUACUAAAAAUAAAAAAAUUAGCUGGGUGUGGUGUCGGGUGCCUGUAAUCCCAGCUACUUGGGAGGCUGAGGCAGGAGAAUUGCUUGAACCCAGGCGGGAGGUUGCAGUGAGCUGAGAUCACGCCGCUGCACUCCAGCCUGGGCAACAGAGUGAGACUCCGUCUCAAAAAAAAAGAAAAGAAAAGAAAAGAAAAAAGCCUAUUAGUUGGCAGGAGGGCUUAUGAAAAUGAGGCCUGGGGGAUGUGUCAUUUACUCAACUGUCUUGGCUAAUGGGAUCUCUAGGCUGGUGAGGUUGCGUUCUGUGUUUUUUUUUUUUUUUUUUUUUUUUUUUGAGACGGUGUCUCGCUCUGUUGCUGAGGGUGGAGUGCAGUGGUGCGAUCUCGGCUCGCUGCAACCUCUGCCUCCCAGGUUCAAGCAAUUCUCAUGCCUCAGCCUCCAGAGUAGCUGGGAUUACAGGCAUGUGCCACCAUGCCCAGCUACUUUUUUGUGUUUUUUCUAGAGACAGGAUUUCACCAUGUUGGCCAGGUUGGUCUCGAACUCCUGACCUCGAGUGAUCCGCCCACCUUGGCCUCCCAGAGUGCUGGGAUUAUAGGCGUGAGGCACCGCUCCUGGCUGUGUUCUAUGUUCUGUAAAGGAAAACAGUGCAGGUAGGAGAAAAGAGGGGCCUGGGAAGGGAAGAAAACAGCAGGGAAGAGGAGGGCUGAAGACAGAGCAGGAGGAAGGCUGAGUGGCUUUAGCUCUUUGGCCUAACCCAGACCAGUCAGAGUUCACUCUGGGCACCUCCCAGUGGCAGCCACUUGAUUUGCAGGCAAAGAGCUUGGAGACCGGCUCUGCAAAUUCAGCCUUAUCCAUGUCCACAUGGGUAUGGCCCCGGAAAGCACUCAACAAAUAUGCACUAAAUGGAUGACUUCAGGCAGUGAUCCAGAUUAUUCAGAGCAGAAAGCUGCUUGGGCUCUGAUUACAGAAAAGUACUCCCCGCUCAUCCGGAUGCAGGGAUACCUUCCAAGACCCCCUGUGGAGGCCUGAAACUGUGGAUUGUACCGAACUGUAGAAAUACAGUACUGUUUUUUUUUCCUAUACAUACAUACCUAUGAUAAAGCUAGGCACAGUAAGAGAUUAACAGUAAUUACUAAUGAUAAACAGAACGAUUGCCACAAUAUACUGCUGUAAUAAAGUUAGUGUGUGUGAUCUCUCUUUCACAAUAUCCUAGUGUUCCAUGCUCACCUAGUUUCCGGCCACUAUUGACCGUGGGUACCUGAAAUUGCAGAAAGCAGAAACUCAGAUAAGCAGGGACUACUGUACUCUUUUUUUUUUUGAGACAGAGUCUCGCUCUCACCCAGGCUGGAGUGCAGUGGUGUGAUCUCGGCUCGCUGCAACCUCUGCCUCCCAGGUUCAA